AUUAAUAAAUGCUCUGCUCAGACUCAUGGGAGACGUGCUUGUUUCCUGCCGUUGGCAGCAUUUUGGAUAAGUUGCAGUCUAGGAUGUUUCCCUUACUGAUUACUACAGAGCAUUGCAGUAGGCUAGUCUUGAAGAGAUAAAAGCAUGAACAACCUUGUCUACAUGUCAGCCUUUUUUACUUUUUUCAUUAUUUUUCCUCAGGGUCUGUAAGCAUCAUAAAAGUUUCCCAAAGUCUGUACGUAAUGGCUCAAUAUUCACCAAGUCUCACAUCCCUCUGACAAAAUGGCUUGAGUUCAUGCACAGUUGAAGCAACUUGCCAUGAUCAGUGACAGGAUAGCAGCAAGCUCCAGGACAUUGACAAGAAUGGCAAAAGUACUCAGAAAGGUGUGCAUUGCUGCUGUCAAGCGACUAAGGAAAAGAUGUAUGAGGAUUGGUCGUCGUCAUCGAUUUGUUGUUAUUGACGAGAGCAAAUUUGCCCACAAACGAAAGUACCAUCGUGGUCGAUGUGGCAACACUUGGCGCCGUGAACGGCAGUGGGUCUUUGGGAUGUUGGAGGUAGACAGGAAGUCCAGAAGACCCAUUCUGAGACUCGUCAGGGAUCGCAGAAGGAAGACACUUAUAGGUCAUAUUAGACGCCAUGUCAGACCCAGAACAUCCAUCCUCAGUGAUGAAUGGCGUGCCUACAAAGGGAAACUUGCCCAGUAUGGGUAUGAUCGUUAUUCCGUCUGCCAUAAAAACAACUUUGUGGACCGAGAGACUGGUGCUCAUACUCAGCAAAUUGAGCGUGCAUGGCAAAGCUACAAGCCGGAAGUAUGGCGUCACAGAGGGAAUCGUACUCCUGAAUCACUCAAGCUUCAUCUUAAGAUGAUAGAGUGGCACCACUGGUUGGGUGUACACCAUUACAAUGGUGUGUUGGGCAGACUUUUCCAUGAUGUGAAAAAACAAGUAAAAGUUUAAAAAAAAAAAAAUCUCUACAAUGUCUGCUGGCAUUUAUGCAUCUAUGUUGUUAAACUCAUUAUAUGUUCUCCUGAGCAGAUCCUUGCUUGUGUUUUACAAACUGUCACUAAAUGAACAUCACAACAAAAUGUUUUGUUUUGAAAUACAUAAAGGAAAAACUAUCUCUUGA